rnacentral:rRNA from 1 species
UAAACGUCAGUAUCGAUCCAGGUGGCCGCCUUCGCCACUGGUAUUCCUCCACUAUCUCUACGCAUUUCACCGCUACACAUGGAAAUUCUACCCCCCUCUACCGUACUCUAGCUUGCCAGUAUGUAAUGCAGUUCCAAGGUUGAGCCCUGGGCUUUCACAUCACACUUAACAAACCGCCUACGCGCGCUUUACGCCCAGUAAUUCCGAUUAACGCUUGCACCCUCCGU